rnacentral:rRNA from 1 species
UACGUAGGAGACUAGCGUUGUCCGGAAUUACUGGGUGUAAAGCGCGUGUAGGCGGCAUACCAAAGUCUGUUGUGAAAUCGCCCGGCUCAACUGGGCGGGGUCAAUGGAAACUGGUAAGCUGGAGGACGGUAGAGGCGAGUGGAAUUCCCGGUGUAGUGGUGAAAUGCGUAGAGAUCGGGAGGAACACCUGUGGCGAAGGCGGGUCUCUGGACAGUUCCUGACGCUGAGGCACGAAGGUCAGGGAGCAAACGGG